UAUCGUUUCAGCAGUAGAUUACAGGCUGGAAACAAGAAAUUUCCCUCUACGUUUUCUCUCAUGUGGCAUGCAGUUGUAUGGGUUUCUAACAUCUAAGUCCCUUAAAUGGGAACCAAACACUGACAAAAAGGCUUAAAUGAUGAAAAGAUGCAUUUACUGAAACUACUUUUAUUUUUGUAUACAUAGUAAAAACAGUAUUAACAGUCAACACUUCAAAACAAGCUGAAGAUUAGAAGAAAAUGUGGUUUUACAAUAAUCUCUGAAAGUACAAUCUGUAAUCAAAGUAUGGCACAAAACAGCCCCAUGUACAAUCCAUAUUGUGCUUUCUGUGUUUUGGUUUUAUCAGUGUAACAAAAUAAUUUAUCCUCUUUAGGAACUAUAUUAAUAUUAUGUAAUACUGUUUUUUGCAUCAACACAAUGAUUGAUUUACCCAUUCAUCCACUCUUGUGAAUUUAUAACACUACUUUAUGCACUCUCCAAAAAUCUCUUCUAUUCUCUUUAAGUUUUAUUAUUGUACACAACUGAAUUAAAGUUUACAUCAAACAAAAACAGUAAAAUCACACGAGGAAGCAAAAAAAAAAAAAAAAAAAUCUCUACGUGAAACAUGUUACUGCUUCUCCACUAUUGUCUGAUAUAGUCAGUGCUGAUUAUUACAGUGCAUGUAAUAAAAACGUAGUGUGAAGUAACUCAUUCAUCCUUAAAAUGUUACAACUAAAGAACAAGAGCAGUAAUAAAAGCUGGGCUCAUCACAGCUCAAAUGUAGUAAUUCUGCAGCAUUAAAUGGCACCUGAAAUCUAAUGUUUUCACCAGCCUUGAGUGAGAAAGCUGUAGCUCUGUACAGCAAUCUAUCAUUCAAAGUGCAGCUUGACCCUGCCGGCUAUACAAAAAAACUACAAAAACAGUUCCAUACCCCAUUUUUGUUUGGUAGCUGGAAGAAAACAAUUGGCACUUGAGAGUAGAUUUUGUUGGUAUGACAUGGCGUUCCUUUCACAAAAUAUGUGAAAACUACAAAGGCAAAAAAAAAAUCAAAUCUAGUGACAUUGAUUGUAUUAAAGGCACAACUACAGCAUUUCUCAAUGUUGAACAAUCAUGAGUUUUGAAUUGUAAUGACUGUUCACCCUGACAAGUCUCUCAUAAACACUGUUGGUGUCAUAUUCAGCAACUUAGACACUAGUAAGGCAUUCAACAACAGCAUCAUAAAAGCAUAUUUUGAAAUGAUAAUAAGCUGAAUUACAUUUUGAUAUGGUGAGGUGAGUUAGUAUAAGCAGUUAGACGGGGCAAAAAAUACUGUCAACACAUAAAUUCAGCACUGUAUGACUAUUACCAAUUCAACCAUAACAUCCUGUCACACCCAGGGCUUAAAGUGUCACUCAUUAUGGCACUAGAGGACAUUUGUGAAGCUCUAACUUACGAUGUUCUUCAUUCAAACAUUUCUAUAUUAACAUUUACAAAGAAAAUGAGAAGGACUUCUUAUAUUACAAAAAUUAAAGAAUCCAAAAUAUACAGCGUUUUUUUUAAAUCUGAUAUUCAUUCCCAUCAUACACUGAGAGGAAUGUAAGCAGUUCAACACAUCUUACACCAUAUAUAUAUAUAUCUAUAUAUAUAUACUGUAUAUAUAAUGAAUGCCAUACUCUGAAGGUUUUUCAGGUAUGGUAACAAUGAUGUGCACAGGUAUCCCUCUAAACAGAUUAUAUCAAUAGAAAAUAAUAAUGAGCCAUGAAAACAUUCUGCAACAUUUAGUUUAGGAUGAAAUGCAAAUGAGACAAAGUAAUAGUGAGUUGAUUUAAAUGCUGUAUGUUUUGCUCCUUUUAUCUUGCUUUGAUAAUAGCUUAGCAGAGCCCCCCUGAGAGUGAGGUAUGAUAUCCAAAAAACUCACAUUUUAUGGAUCUCAUAACCCUGGUCCCAAAUCACCCUCUAUGCCCUGUUAUAUAGUAAUGAGUCGCUACAAUCUUAAAGUUUAAAGCAAGAGAAGAAUCUAAUGUAGGCAAACAGAGAAUGAGGUGAGGCCACAUCCUCUACAUCUCUGGCUGGAAGGGUGUGUUUUGUUUAUUUACGACCACCACAACUUGUGCUCUCCAUCAGACCUGCAGCCUGUUGUCAAGAUUGAUGUGAGCAGCAGCUGGUGAGAAGUAGCCCUUCACACACACAGUGUUUUUAAAUGAAUGUCAAACUUUUUUUUCUGGGUAUACUGUGCCCAAGACCUGGACUUUAAGUAGCCCUCCAUGAGUAAAACUAAGUACAUACGCACAGUAUGUUUGAGACUAGUUGAGUCCCAAUUAUCUACCCGUCAACCCCCCCCCCCCC